CAGACCAUACUUUAAGAUAAGGUUUUCAUUUACAUUGGAAAAUGUAUCGUGCAAUUCGAUAUGGUUUGA
rnacentral:tRNA from 1 species